UCGAUGAAGUACACAUUAUCGCCGUCUCAAUAUUUCACCACCACUUUACCUGUAUAGAUUCUAUACAAAUUAUGGUUGAACAAAACUGAAAUCGCGAUCGCAGUGUACUGCAGAACGCAGAGUAUAAACGAAAAGAAAUAAUGCGUACAGACAUUUUUAAUCGUUUUCGCGUACGUUUUGUGUUACGGUUGAUGUUGUUAAUAUCGAUAAUAUAUUAAACUAUUUUGUGCGGUCGAUUUUAAAACAUUAGAGUGCACUGGUCGAUUAUCGAACCCAAAGGUAAGCAUGUAUAGGUAUUGUU